rnacentral:rRNA from 1 species
AACGAACGCUGGCGGCAUGCCUAACACAUGCAAGUCGAACGAGACCUUCGGGUCUAGUGGCGCACGGGUGCGUAACGCGUGGGAACCUGCCCGUAGGUUCGGAAUAACUCCCCGAAAGGGGUGCUAAUACCGGAUAAUGUCUUCGGACCAAAGAUUUAUCGCCUUUGGAUGGGCCCGCGUUGGAUUAGCUAGUUGGUAGGGUAAAAGCCUACCAAGGCGACGAUCCAUAGCUGGUCUGAGAGGAUGAUCAGCCACACUGGGACUGAGACACGGCCCAGACUCCUACGGGAGGCAGCAGUGGGGAGUAUUGGACGAUGGGCGAAAGCCUGAUCCAGCAGUGCCGCGUGAGUGAUGAAGGCCUUAGGAUUGUAAAGCUCUUUUACCCGAGAUGAUAAUGACAGUACCGGGAGAAUAAGCACCGGCUAACUCCGUG